GCAAUCCUCUCACCUGGGCCUCCCAGAGUGCUGGAAUGACAGGCAUGAGCCACCCCACCUGGUCCAAUCUACCUCAUCUUAAAGUUUGGCUUUCUUCCGUUGACAAGAACAUUAUUUCAACUCUACUCAUGAAAUAAAAGGCAAGCGUUUCCCUCGAGCUGUACCAGGCGAGAUGCCUAUGAAGCUGGCUAGUUUUGGCCACAGAAGUGUUUCUAGCUGGGGCUGCGGAGAACACUGGCCUAUUUCGGCACUGAAAACACAGAUGCCUCGGGCCAAGGAGUCCACCGAUCGCAGACCAGUUUUUGGCCAAAGCAGAGGCUCUGGCUGUCCUGGACCAAGCUGCAAAGCAAACUUGCUACCGGCUUGCUCAGUGGGGCAUUGGGGUGUGGCUCGCAGGACCGUGUGUCCCAACGCACUGCGUCCCCAGUGCCCAGCACAUGUGAGGUCCUUAGGAGAUGGUCGUGGGCUGUCUUGAUCUGGGUCCCCUGGAAGCCAACCCUGAGACAGGAUUCGGGUGCAGGAUCCAGGGAAGCCCCAUGGGAAGGAGGCAGGUGCAGAGCAGGGAAAGGAGAAAAUCCAAUAAAACCUGUGCCAUGGCCACUCCUGGGGGGCCUCUCAGGAGCCUCAGGUCUUCCCUCAAGAAGAUGGGAGCCUGGGGGAGACCCCGAGACCAAGAGGAGAGCUGCCCCUCUAGGCAGGACGAUAGCAGCACUGCAAUAGCUGCUGAGAGACGCGGUGCCCGGGGGCCUGAAGCCGAGUCCACAGCGUCUGCACAGGGCACAGGGGGCUGGCGUUUUUUGGGACCUGGGCAGGCCUUGCAGCGUGGUGGAGAGAAGUGCGGCAGGGGUGAGGCAGAGAGCCUUGCGGGGUCAGCUCUGCUGCCCCUGAGGCUCUUCACCUCUCCCACCCAGCUGGUGCACCCCAGCUUGGCCCACGCUGCUUAAAUUCGGUUUCUGGGACUUGCACCCAAAUUGUCCUUACUGAAGUAGAAAUGACACCACAAGCCUGAGGCCCUGGAGACAAACUUGACCUCCCCUCCCUGCUGCCCUAGAAACAAGGCCCAGUGAGCUGGGCUUCCGG